rnacentral:rRNA from 1 species
GACGAACGCUGGCGGCGUGCUUAACACAUGCAAGUCGAACGGAAAGGCCCUGCUUUUGUGGGGUGCUCGAGUGGCGAACGGGUGAGUAACACGUGAGUAACCUGCCCUUGACUUUGGGAUAACUUCAGGAAACUGGGGCUAAUACCGGAUAGGAGCUCCUGCUGCAUGGUGGGGGUUGGAAAGUUUCGGCGGUUGGGGAUGGACUCGCGGCUUAUCAGCUUGUUGGUGGGGUAGUGGCUUACCAAGGCUUUGACGGGUAGCCGGCCUGAGAGGGUGACCGGCCACAAUGGGACUGAGGUACGGCCCAGACUCCUACGGGGGGGAACAGGGGGGAAUAUUGCACAAUGGGCCGAAGCCUGAAGGAGCAACGCCGGGUGCGGGAAGACGGGCUUCGGGGUGGAAACCGCUUUCGCCUGUGACGAAGCGGGAGUGACGGUAAUUGGUAAAGGAGCACCGGCUAACUACGUG